CUACGGGAGGCAGCAGUGAGGAAUUUUGCGCAAUGGGCGAAAGCCUGACGCAGCGACGCCGCGUGAGUGAUGAAGGCCUUCGGGUCGUAAAGCUCUGUCAAGUGGGAAGAACCUAUGUAAUGUUAAUAUCAUUAUAUACUGACGGUACCACUGAAGGAAGCACCGGCGAACUCCGUGCCAGCAGCCGCGGUAAUACGGGGGGUGCAAGCGUUAUUCGGAAUCAUUGGGCGUAAAGGGCACGUAGGCGGCCUGGUAAGUCAGAUGUGAAAGCCCGGGGCUUAACCCCGGAAGUGCAUUUGAUACUGUCAGGCUUGAGUAUGGGAGAGGGAAGUGGAAUUCCUGGUGUAGAGGUGAAAUUCGUAGAUAUCAGGAGGAACACCGGUGGCGAAGGCGACUUCCUGGACCAAUACUGACGCUGAGGUGCGAAGGCGUGGGUAGCAAACAGGAUUAGAUACCCCCGUAGUC
rnacentral:rRNA from 1 species